ACCAAAACAAAACCCAAACAACACCAACA
rnacentral:piRNA from 1 species